AUUGAACGCUGGCGGCAUGCUUUACACAUGCAAGUCGAACGGUAACAGGUUAAGCUGACGAGUGGCGAACGGGUGAGUAAUGCAUCGGAACGUGCCCGAUCGUGGGGGAUAACGCAGCGAAAGCUGCGCUAAUACCGCAUACGAUCUGAGGAUGAAAGCGGGGGACCGUAAGGCCUCGCGCGAUCGGAGCGGCCGAUGUCAGAUUAGGUAGUUGGUGGGGGAAAGGCCCACCAAGCCGACGAUCUGUAGCUGGUCUGAGAGGACGACCAGCCACACUGGGACUGAGACACGGCCCAGACUCCUACGGGAGGCAGCAGUGGGGAAUUUUGGACAAUGGGCGAAAGCCUGAUCCAGCAAUGCCGCGUGCAGGAAGAAGGCCUUCGGGUUGUAAACUGCUUUUGUACGGAGCGAAAAGGUCCUUUCUAAUACAAGGGGCUCACGACGGUACCGUAAGAAUAAGCACCGGCUAACUACGUGCCAGCAGCCGCCGUAAGAC
rnacentral:rRNA from 1 species